AUGGGGGGAACCCUGACCGAGCAACGCCGCGUGAGUGAAGAAGGUUUUCGGAUCGUAAAGCUCUGUUGUUAAGGAAGAACGAGUGUGAGAAUGGAAAGUUCAUACUGUGACGGUACUUAACCAGAAAGGGACGGCUAACUACGUGCCAGCAGCCGCGGUAAUACGUAGGUCCCGAGCGUUGUCCGGAUUUAUUGGGCGUAAAGCGAGCGCAGGCGGUUAGAAAAGUCUGAAGUGAAAGACAGUGGCUCAACCAUUGUAGGCUUUGGAAACUGUUUAACUUGAGUGCAGAAGGGGAGAGUGGAAUUCCAUGUGUAGCGGUGAGAUGCGUAGAUAUAUGGAGGAACACCGGUGGCGAAAGCGGCUCUCUGGUCUGUAACUGACGCUGAGGCUCGAAAGCGUGGGGAGCGAACAGAAUUAGAUACCCUGGUAGUCCACGCCGUAAACGAUGAGUGCUAGGUGUUAGGUCCUUUCCGGGACUUAGUGCCGCAGCUAACGCAUUAAGCACUCCGCCUGGGGAGUACGACCGCAAGGUUGAAACUCAAAGGAAUUGACGGGGGCCCGCACAAGCGGUGGAGCAUGUGGUUUAAUUCGAAGCAACGCGAAGAACCUUACCAGGUCUUGACAUCCCGAUGCUAUUUCUAGAGAUAGGAAGUU
rnacentral:rRNA from 1 species